rnacentral:rRNA from 1 species
CCAGACUCCUACGGGAGGCAGCAGUGAGGAAUAUUGGUCAAUGGCCGGAAGGCUGAACCAGCCAAGUCGCGUGAGGGACGACUGCCCUAUGGGUUGUAAACCUCUUUUAUAAGGGAAGAAUAAAUGCUACGUGUAGCAUGAUGCCUGUACCUUAUGAAUAAGCAUCGGCUAACUCCGUGCCAGCAGCCGCGGUAAUACGGAGGAUGCGAGCGUUAUCCGGAUUUAUUGGGUUUAAAGGGCGCGUAGGCGGGCUGCCAAGUCAGCGGUAAAAUUGCGGGGCUCAACCCCGUCGAGCCGUUGAAACUGGCGGUCUUGAGUGGGCGAGAAGUAUGCGGAAUGCGUGGUGUAGCGGUGAAAUGCAUAGAUAUCACGCAGAACUCCGAUUGCGAAGGCAGCAUACCGGCGCCCGACUGACGCUGAAGCACGAAAGCGUGGGUAUCGAACAGGAUUAGAUACCCCAGUACC